UUUUUUUUUGGGGGGGGUGUUUGUGUGUUUUGUUUGUCUUUGCUAUUGCUAUUUCCACACUUUAUUGAAUUCCUUGAAAUUAUCUACUUUUUUUUUUGGAAAUAAUGCUCCUAUAAUAAAUUACUACUUACACAGUUAAUUUUUAUUAUUUUAGUGAGUGACACAUAGUUACAACACACAUCUUUCCAGUCACACACUACUUGUAUGUAAAAUUUCAUUGCUUCAUGAAUAAUGAAAAGAUAUUAGGUUACUUUAACUUAUUUCUUCAACUUUUUAACACAAAUUUAAAUUCUAUUCAUUUUUAAAACUAAUGCAUUAUUAUCAUUGUUUUAAGUCACUAUUGAUAGAGAUUCAUUCAUCUUUUUUUUAUCUUAACUCUCAUUAGAAUUUUUUAAGACUGUUCUCUUGGCAAUAAAUUGUUGGUUUUUAUUUGUCUGAAAAUAUGAUUAUGAAAUUUUCUUUUCAGACUUCAACAUGACAUUAUAUUAUUUUGUCAUUCCACAGUAUUUGUAGAGAAAUUAUAUAUCUGGUUUGUUUAUAGUCCCUUGCGUGCAGUGUGUCUUUAGUGAUCUGGUUACUUUCAAGAUUACCACUUUUCUUUGUUUUUAAAUGUUUUUAUUAUGGUGUGUUUAGGGGUUAAUUUCUUUUUAUUCAUUCUGAUUAAAGGUUGUACAGUUGUGUUGUUGUUGUUUUUUGUCUUUUUGCCUUUUCUUGGGCCACUCCCGUGGCAUAUGGAAGUUCCCAGGCUAAGGAUCGAAUCGGAGCUGUAGCCAUCAGCCUACCCGCCAGCCACAGCAACGUGGGAUCCUAGCUGUGUCUGCAACCUACACUACAGCUCACGGCAACAUUGGAUCUUUAACCCACUGAGCAAGGCCAGGAAUCGAACCCGCAACCUCAUGGUUCCUAGUCGGAUUCGUUAACCACUGAGCCACGAUGGGAACUCUGUGUUGUUGGUUUUUUAUUUUUAAUUUUGAAGUCAUGGAUGACUAUUUUAAUGUUUCAUCAGUUUGGGAAAAUUACUGACUAGUAUUUCUUCAAAUAUUGCUUUUGGACUUUCGUUCUAUCUCUCAAAAUACACAAACUAUAGCUAUGUUAGGUAUUUUCACCAUGCUCCAAUUCGACUAGAGUAAUUUCACCAGAUUUUUUAAAAAUAGGCAUCUGUUUCUCUGGUGAGAGUCUCCUUUUGUCAUCUAUCUUUUAAUAACAUUAAUCGUAUAUAUUUUAAAGGCUAUGAAUAAUAUUUCCAGUAUUUGGAUCACGCAUAUACUUUUUCCUGUAUUUUUUUUUAAUUGGUCUUGUGCCAUUCAGCUUUGUCUUAGCAUUCCUUUAUUUUUUAAAUUGAAAGCUGGACAUUAUAUAAAAAAAUACAUUCUCUUUCAGAAACACUUUAUUUCUCUACUUUCAAUGGCUUAAACAUAAAUGAGACAUUUAAAACUCAUUGAAACUAAACUUAAAUAAUUGUACGGAAAACCUGAUGUAUUUAUCAGUCUCUAGUCUUUGACAAAAAUUGAACAUGUGUUAUUUUUUUUUUCUCUAGCAAUGUGUGCUCACCAAAAUCAUAGUUUCUUAGCAUCUUAUCUAAUAUUUUCCUAGUGACUUCUCAUCCUCCAGCUGCAUGUCAAAUAAGAAAAUAAGAGUCAGAAAAUGACUGAAUAGAAAAUUUGUAAAGAAUGUACAGUUUACUUCCUGGUGGUUGCUUUUACAAAAGAGAAGUUAAUCUUUCUUCUUGAGGUCUCACUGCUUUGGUAGUCCCAUAUCCAGCUUUUAUCUCUCCAGCCAGAACCACUGGAGAUUCUGAACUUCCACUUUCUUCUCAUUCUCUAAACUAUGUAAUGCUUAUUCAGGAGCAGAUUUGUCAAGGCCAUACAAAGACAAAGAGUUUCAAACCUGCCUCCAUAUAUUUUCUUUCUCCCUGGAGUCUAGAAGCUUCAGGUCCCAUAUCCUGAAUUUUGCAUGUUGUCAAGCUAUUCUACUUUUGUGGGUUUUUUGUUUGUUUUGUUUUUUAACCUCAAGGGUGCUUGUCUGAUACAAGCUACUCCAUUACAGCCAGAUGUAAAAUUUUUUAUUUAUUUUUAUUAUUAUUUUUUAUUUUAUUUUUUGCUUUUUAGGUCCACACCUGCGGCAUAUGGAAUUUCCGAGGCUAAGGGUUGAAUCAGAGCUACAGCUGCUGGCCUACACACAGCCACAGCAAUGCAGGAUCUGAGCCACAUCUGUAGCCUAUACCACAGCUCAUGGCAAUGCAGGAUCCCUGAACCACGGACCCCAAACCACUGAGGGAGGCCAGCGACCAAAUCCACAUCCUCAUGAAUUCUAGAUGGAUUCAUUUCCACUGCACCACAAAGGGAAUGACCAGAAGUGAAAAUUUUUGUUUUGCUUUGUUUUAGAAACAAAUGAGUUAUUGUAAAAGUAGCUGUGUAUCCUGACCACUAUUUCUUACAAUUCCCUCCUUCCAGUUUCUCCCUGACACUGAAACCUCAUACCUACCACCUAAGUGGCUGAAUCUCUACUACCCAGCUCAUUUAAUUCCAAAUCCUUAGUCUCAGAAAACUAGAUUACCUUCCUCAAGUUACUGCCAAAGUGUUAUUGAGAAUCAAUACAGGGAAGACGUGAUCAAUCCAAAGAUGCUGUCAGAGUAGUUAUUAAAUAAUUAAACUUUGCUCAGAAAAUCCCUAGAGGCAACUAUAGUGUUCUAUAAAUUUGAAUUGUCAUUCCCUAGAUUCUUUCGUAAACAUUAUUAAUCUUAUUACUGCCCUAGCCAUAUACCUCACAAAAACGUAUUAUUUUCCAUUCCCAAUAGGUCUCAGAUUUUUAAAAUAUAUACUGUCUAAGUUUAACUUCUCUGCAGUCUAUGCAUAAAUCUCCAUGAUACUAUUUGACUAUUUCGUGGGGGCAGGGUUAUUUCAAGAUAAAGAUUCAUGUACACAUUUUUACAAUGAUCUAAUUUUCAUGGCAAAAAACAAAAACAAAAACAAAACAUUUCGUCAAACUAACAAUGAAAAGAUUCAACACAAUAGCCCAGAAAUAAAAAGCAAAGCAAAACUAAAAACAAGCAAACAGAAACAAAGCCACAUAAAUGAGAUUAAAGCAAACUGACAGAAAAAUACUCAGAAGAUAAGACAGAAAUACUGUUGAGAAUCCCAUCGCAUUCUCAAAAAUGAAAUCACCAGAACACUGCUGGGAGAUAAAAAAGCCAGAGAGGGACAGGAAGUCUAGGAAGUCUGAAAAUGAGGAUGAAAAAUUUUAGCUCCCCC
rnacentral:lncRNA from 1 species